rnacentral:rRNA from 1 species
CAAAGGAAGCGAUUCCGGCAACGGAUGGGCAUGCGUGACAUUAGCUAGUUGGCGGGGCAACGGCCCACCAAGGCGACGAUGUCUAGGGGUUCUGAGAGGAAGGUCCCCCACACUGGUACUGAGACACGGACCAGACUCCUACGGGAGGCAGCAGUGAGGAAUAUUGGUCAAUGGGCGCGAGCCUGAACCAGCCAAGUCGCGUGAGGGAUGACGGCCCUACGGGUUGUAAACCUCUUUUGUCGGGGAGCAAAUUCCGCCACGUGUGGCGGAGUCGAGAGUACCCGAAGAAAAAGCAUCGGCUAACUCCGUGCCAGCAGCCGCGGUAAUACGGAGGAUGCGAGCGUUAUCCGGAUUUAUUGGGUUUAAAGGGUGCGUAGGCGGACUGUCAAGUCAGCGGUAAAAUACGGGGGCUCAACCUCCGCCCGCCGUUGAAACUGACGGUCUUGAGUGGGCGAGAAGUAUGCGGAAUGCGUGGUGUAGCGGUGAAAUGCAUAGAUAUCACGCAGAACUCCGAUUGCGAAGGCAGCAUACCGGCGCCCAACUGACGCUGAAGCACGAAAGCGUGGGUAUCGAACAGGAUUAGAUACCCUGGUAGUCCACGCAGUAAACGAUGAAUACUAGCUGUCCGGGGCGAAUGGGCCCUGG